AAUAUUGCACAAUGGGGGAAACCCUGAUGCAGCAACGCCGCGUGAGCGAAGAAGGCUUUCGGGUCGUAAAGCUCUGUCCUAAGGGAAGAUAAUGACGGUACCUUAGGAGGAAGCCCCGGCUAACUACGUGCCAGCAGCCGCGGUAAUACGUAGGGGGCAAGCGUUAUCCGGAAUCAUUGGGCGUAAAGGGUGCGUAGGCGGCCUUAUGGGUCAGAGGUGAAAUCCUAGAGCUUAACUCUAGUCAGCCUUUGAAACUGUAGGGCUUGAGUGCGGGAGAGGAGAGUGGAAUUCCUAGUGUAGCGGUGAAAUGCGUAGAUAUUAGGAGGAACACCAGUGGCGAAGGCGACUCUCUGGACUGCAACUGACGCUGAGGCACGAAAGCGUGAGGAGCAAACA
rnacentral:rRNA from 1 species